CUGAAGGCCUGUCACCUGAAGACAUCUCCACCAGAGUGACAGCUCUAGCCCUAGAUGGCCUGGGGCCUCUCCCCAGGGGUUGGCGCUGUUUUGCUAUGUAGUCCAGAAUAGCAUCAAAUUCGUGGCUCUCUUCCUGUCUCAGCCUCCAGAAAGCACAUCGCUUCACAGUGAGUUUCAAAGAGGUUGAGGGCAAAGAAACUCGGACCUUUGGGCAGGCUGCUCUGCCCAUUCCUCUCUCCAGGCCUGGCUGGCUCUACCAAUCUUUGAGGCCCUGAGAAGAGCACGGGUGUCGCCUCCCACUCCUCCUGACAGCCGGCAAUGAUCCAGUCACAGGGAGCCAUCCAUCAGUGUCGGGGGAAAAGAGUGGCCCUAAGGAUCCUUUCCCGCACACUCUUGGAAGCUGCUGGGUGCCUUAGGGCACCGAGGGGCAAGACAAGGAAGGAUGCCAGGGGUGGGCAGACUCGGGAAGGCAAGCCCUGGCUCAGAACUGCGGACGCCCUUCCCGAAAUCCCUCAGGCU
ensembl:processed_transcript Gm11523 predicted gene 11523